GGUAAGAAGGAGGUGGAAUUGACUGGAAAGGGGCACAAGAGAACUCACUGGGAUGUUGAAAAGUUUUUGAAAUUGAUUUGGGUGGUUGUUUACAUGUGUGUAUGCAAUUGUCAAACCCCAGUGAACCACAAAGACGGGCGCGUUUCACAGUCUUCAAAUUAUGCCUCAAUUAAUCAGUUAGUGGACAGUGCUUGAGAUCAGCAGGAUAAAGCUCGUUUCUAUCCAAGCACACUUGCUGCAUCUUCACUCGUCCCUGACCAGAUCCCAGUGGCCCAGUGGACUCCCCUUUCCGGCACUGACAUGAGGGAGAAUAAGUUCUUGAAAACUGCUAAAUCAUCCUAGGUUGGUUUGAGUUACCAAAGUGGGCAGAAUAAAUGUUAUUUCUCCAAAAAAGUGGACUCAGAAUCAAGUGAUGUCUGGACAGCGUUCAUGGUCAUCUGCUGUCACAUGCGGUUACAUUUUGUAAUCCAGAUGUAUCCAUUUCUGAGAAGCAUUUCUAAGGUGUAUUUUCUAUCUCUCAAAAUGUACACAUUCAGCCCUUUCAUAAAAAUAUGAUUAAAGUUCAUUCUAAAAUUAUAACACUUAUGAGUCCAGAAUAGCACGAUACGGUAUGGUAUAUGCAAGGGUUUGGUAAACGACUGCCAUCGUCAAAUCUGGCCCUCCUCUUGUUUUUGUCCCUCUUGCUGGCUAAGAAUGGCUGUUACAUUUUUUAAAUAUUUGAAAAGACACUAAGUAGGAAGCAACACUUACAGCUGGCACCCUCAGUUCUCCUGUUCCUUAGAGCCAUGAAACCACGUGGCAAAGGAGGAGAAGAAGCAGAUGAAGAGGUGCAAGGAAGAAAAUCCGGCCUCAUUUCGGACAAAUGAAUAUGUCCAGAAUUGGAAAUUCACAUGCGGGAGAAUUAAGUGAUAAUUCUCACAAUGUGUUCACAAUAAGUGCUCACAGUAAGUGUUCAUUGAAUUUAAUAAAGUGCUUUCCCAGGAC
rnacentral:lncRNA from 1 species